rnacentral:rRNA from 1 species
UACAGGGGGUGCAAACGUUGCUCGGAAUCAUUGGGCGUAAAGCGCACGUAGGCGGUUCGUUAUGUCGGAUGUGAAAGCCCUUGGCUUAACCGAGGAAGUGCAUCCGAAACUGGCGAGCUAGAGUACGAAAGAGGAUCGCGGAAUUCCCGGUGUAGAGGUGAAAUUCGUAGAUAUCGGGAGGAACACCAGUGGCGAAGGCGGCGACCUGGGCAGAUACUGACACUGAGGUGCGAAAGCGUGGGGAGCAAACAAG